rnacentral:rRNA from 1 species
UCUGUAAGCCUGUGAAGGUGUACUGUGAGGUAUGCUGGAGGUAUCAGAAGUGCGAAUGCUGACAUAAGUAACGAUAAAGCGGGUGAAAAGCCCGCUCGCCGGAAGACCAAGGGUUCCUGUCCAACGUUAAUCGGGGCAGGGUGAGUCGACCCCUAAGGCGAGGCCGAAAGGCGUAGUCGAUGGGAAACAGGUUAAUAUUCCUGUACUUGGUGUUACUGCGAAGGGGGGACGGAGAAGGCUAUGUUGGCCGGGCGACGGUUGUCCCGGUUUAAGCGUGUAGGCUGGUUUUCCAGGCAAAUCCGGAAAAUCAAGGCUGAGGCGUGAUGACGAGGCACUACGGUGCUGAAGCGACAAAUGCCCUGCUUCCAGGAAAAGCCUCUAAGCAUCAGGUAACAUCAAAUCGUACCCCAAACCGACACAGGUGGUCAGGUAGAGAAUACCAAGGCGCUUGAGAGAACUCGGGUGAAGGAACUAGGCAAAAUGGUGCCGUAACUUCGGGAGAAGGCACGCUGAUAUGUAGGUGAAGCGACUUGCUCGUGGAGCUGAAAUCAGUCGAAGAUACCAGCUGGCUGCAACUGUUUAUUAAAAACACAGCACUGUGCAAACACGAAAGUGGACGUAUACGGUGUGACGCCUGCCCGGUGCCGGAAGGUUAAUUGAUGGGGUUAGCGGUAACGCGAAGCUCUUGAUCGAAGCCCCGGUAAACGGCGGCCGUAACUAUAACGGUCCUAAGGUAGCGAAAUUCCUUGUCGGGUAAGUUCCGACCUGCACGAAUGGCGUAAUGAUGGCCAGGCUGUCUCCACCCGAGACUCAGUGAAAUUGAACUCGCUGUGAAGAUGCAGUGUACCCGCGGCAAGACGGAAAGACCCCGUGAACCUUUACUAUAGCUUGACACUGAACAUUGAGCCUUGAUGUGUAGGAUAGGUGGGAGGCUUUGAAGUGUGGACGCCAGUCUGCAUGGAGCCGACCUUGAAAUACCACCCUUUAAUGUUUGAUGUUCUAACGUGGGCCCCUUACCGGGGUUGCGGACAGUGUCUGGUGGGUAGUUUGACUGGGGCGGUCUCCUCCUAAAGAGUAACGGAGGAGCACGAAGGUUGGCUAAUCCUGGUCGGACAUCAGGAGGUUAGUGCAAUGGCAUAAGCCAGCUUGACUGCGAGCGUGACGGCGCGAGCAGGUGCGAAAGCAGGUCAUAGUGAUCCGGUGGUUCUGAAUGGAAGGGCCAUCGCUCAACGGAUAAAAGGUACUCCGGGGAUAACAGGCUGAUACCGCCCAAGAGUUCAUAUCGACGGCGGUGUUUGGCACCUCGAUGUCGGCUCAUCACAUCCUGGGGCUGAAGUAGGUCCCAAGGGUAUGGCUGUUCGCCAUUUAAAGUGGUACGCGAGCUGGGUUUAGAACGUCGUGAGACAGUUCGGUCCCUAUCUGCCGUGGGCGCUGGAGAACUGAGGGGGGCUGCUCCUAGUACGAGAGGACCGGAGUGGACGCAUCACUGGUGUUCGGGUUGUCAUGCCAAUGGCACUGCCCGGUAGCUAAAUGCGGAAGAGAUAAGUGCUGAAAGCAUCUAAGCACGAAACUUGCCCCGAGAUGAGUUCUCCCUGACUCCUUGAGAGUCCUGAAGGAACGUUGAAGACGACGACGUUGAUAGGCCGGGUGUGUAAGCGCAGCGAUGCGUUGAGCUAACCGGUACUAAUGAACCGUGAGGCUUAACCUU